rnacentral:lncRNA from 1 species
GGAGCCGGCCGCCGCGCCCGGCAGGGGGCAGCCGCCCUCCCGCAGCGCCGCCCGGACCCGGAGCCGGGCUGUAACGGCGCGAGGCGGGGCGCGCGGACGCGGGGCAGCGGGAAACGAGCGCGUGCCCGGCCUUCCCGCCGCUGCUGCUGCUGCGGCGGCACGGGGGGGGAGAAGGCGGGAAAGGAGGGCGGGAGCGCCGCCCUGGGCUCAGCGCACGCCCUUGUAAAUCACACCCUGGUGCAGAACUUCGCGUUCGCUUUUUGGCUGUUGCUUCGCUCACACGUGUCGUCUGGCGCUACUAGAGCUAGAUGACAGCGUGACGGUUAGCCGCAUUUCCCGGCCUUCCGGGCAGCUGCUUCAGCAAAAGUAACAAAACCCGUAGCAACUCGCGUUGGCGGCAGCACUGGGGCGCGGCCUGUGGAAACCUCCGCACCUCCCGUACCGGUAAUGGCUGCAGGCGCGUCGGGGACAGAAGCGACGGGCAACGCUGGUGGAGCCGGGAGCGCAGGAGGGGCCGGCGCCGCCCGCGUGCCGUAUGGGAUCCCCGCAGCCGGGCUGAGGCAAGUUCUGGACGUUACUUUUGGUCAAUGCCUGUGAAAACCGUUCUCUCUAGAAAAUCCUGUGCAUGGAAUUACGGCAUCUCCAUAAUUGCUGUGAAAUCAUCUCAUCUACUUAUUCUGGAAGAAGCUGGAGGUGACAGCCACCUGCUGCCACAGAGCAACUCCGAGCCAGAACCACUCCUGAGCACCGGUAAAUAGUACUUCACUAAGUACUGAAGACAACUGAGAUGCCAGGAGAAACUUCUGGAAAUUAAAUCCUUUUAACUUCCUUUUACUACUCUUAUAAUUAAUUAAGACCUGUAAUUAUCCACUGGUUGAAGCAGAGCCUUAUAAAGCUGAAAAUUACUCACAAUUUGCAGCUGCAGAGACCUCAGUCAUUUCCCUUCAUUUUAUUGGAAAAUUUAGAAAUCUUCUCUUGGUGUAUACGUUCAUUCUGUUGAACAUAAAUUGGUAGGAUUUUGUUGCAGCAUGAAACAGCGAGACUAUUUCUGAUCAGUAUCAACUUCUUCCCGAUUCUUGGUUAAAUGCAUGCAUGUGGUUUUGCUUUUAAGUUCUAAAUACAGUCAGCUAAUUUUGAAACCACAACACGUUUUAGUAAAACAGAUUUAUCCAGUUGUACCUUUCAAAGCCCAGGGAUGGAGGCUGCACAAUAGCUCUGGGUCUGAGGAGCAGAGGGGGAUAAUCCCUUCUCUCAAUCCAGCAGCUGUGCUCCUGUUAGUGCAGCACAGGAUGCUAUUGCCUUUCUUUGCUGCCAGCGCACACUGCUGACCUCAAUUCAACCCUUUUCAGUAGAGCUGCUCUCCAGCCAGUCAGUCCCUUUAUCUCUCAUUUCUGGUCUACCAGAAGAAGGUGAUGUUGCUGUCCUUAAAGUGGAAGUUUGGUCCUUACAUUGGAAUUCAGUACUACUAAACCUGGGAUAAUUUUGCUGUUCAAUAACUUUGCUCCCAUCCUUCUUCCAUCCCUUUUUGAACUGCAUUUAUGCUUUUAACUUUGCUAAAUAAGGCUUGCUCCUUUGCAUGCCAAAGAGAUAACAAACGUAUGACACCUGAGUCAUUAGUAACAUCAGUACUCAUCAGUAAACUAAGCAUACUGAGCCACCUAAUGAAGACAAGAAUUAAAUGCUGCUAUAUGAUAAAUACACUGCAGAGAAUGGGGCUGCGGGCAAUGCUGACUUCAGGAAGGAAGCAAUCAAUCGGAAAUUUGUUUUUUAACCAAGGCUCUGAACACUUCUAAAAAAGUAGUUAUCUGCAAUACCAGGUUGGUAGGAGAGGUGGGGAAAUAAAAGUGCUCCCCCAUGGACCAGCUGAUCUAUUUCUGGACCACAGUUUGCACCACCUGCCUGCCAAAGAGCCUUCAGCAUACACAUCCUAAGGAGGGGGGUUAAAAAGAAAGGAGCUGCAGACAGACCAAGCCUGCAUUUAGCCUAGGAUAUAUGGAUGGCAGUUAAAGGAAGAGUAAAGCAACACGUGCUAUUUGCCCUAAGAAUCCUCACUGUUUCUCAUCAUUUUGGGGGGGAGGAGAUAAAUCCUAACACUUGUUGC